rnacentral:lncRNA from 1 species
AUGGAAAAAUCCUUGCGCACAAGCAAAAUGAAGGAGCCCUCAUCGAUUACAUUGACGGUGAACUACAAAAGCAGCCACCUGUUUUCUGAAGAAUUUUCCAUUCUACUCGUCCUGUACAAUGAUGAUUGUGAAACUGUAAAUCCUAUAGGCUCCAAGACUACAAUUCACAAACUGGGCCUAAUUUACUUUCAGAUCAGAUGUUUACCGCCUGAGCUGUUGUCUUCCUUGUCAGCAUGCUUUCUGUUGGCCGUGUACAAGUCAGAUGACGUCAAGACAUAUGGCAUGGACAUGGUUCUUCAAUGCAUUGUUAAUGAUUUGAAGGAUUUAGAACAAAAUGGAUUACAAGUUGAGACAGAACAAUUUCGUGGCACUGUAAAGGUUGGUGUUGCCCAAGUGUGUGGAGACAAUCUUGCCCUAAACUCUCUUCUUGGUUUCUCAGAAAGUUUUGCAGCAAAUAGUGUCUGUCGUUUAUGCAAAAUUAACAAACCCAGUCUUCAUACCCAGACAGCAGAGGAUCCAGAUUUGCUGCGCAAUGCAGUGAAUUACAACCAGGAUUUACAGACCAAUAAUCCUGCAGAAACUGGCCUUAAACGAAGAUGUGUCCUAGAUGAGCUUGCAUUCUUCAGUGUUGUUCAGAAUGUCACGCCAGAUAUCAUGCACGAUAUUUUAGAGGGUGUUGGCCCACUAGAGGUGAAACUAGUGCUGUCAGAACUUAUAGCUGAAGGCCACAUUACCCUUGAUACUCUCAACUAUAGGCUCACAAGCUUUGAUUAUGGUUUCGUUGAUAGGUGCAAUAAACCAUCAGUCCUGUCAAGCCAAGAACUUAAAAACCCCAGCACCACCACGCGCCAAACUGCAGCACAAAUGUGGUGCCUAUUACGAUUUCUUCCUCUUAUGGUAGGUGACUUAAUACCACAUGACAACAAGCACUGGGAAUUGCUGCUUCUACUGUUGUCUUGCAUGGAAAUGAUAUUUUCCCCGUCCCUGACUCCAGAAGCCACAAUAUAUCUCAGAUGUCUUAUUCAAGACCACCAUACACUCUUCCAAGAGUUGUUCCCUCAUUUGCAUUUAAAGCCGAAACACCAUUUUAUGGUUCAUUAUCCAUCUACAUUCAGAAAAAUAGGCCCCCUAGUCAACUUUUGGACAUGA